GACGAACGCUGGCGGCGUGCCUAACACAUGCAAGUGGAGCGACGGACCAGGGCUUGCCCUGGGGCCAAGCCGCGAACGGGUGAGUAACACGUGGGUAACCCACCCCGUUGACCGGGACAACCCGAGGAAACUCGGGCUAAUACCGGAUGAGCCCUACGGACUUCAGUCCGUCGGGGAAAGGUAGCUUCGGCUUCCGCUACGGGAAGGGCCCGCGGCCCAUUAGCUAGUUGGUGAGGUAACGGCUCACCAAGGCAACGAUGGGUAGCUGGUCUGAGAGGACGAUCAGCCACACUGGGACUGAGACACGGCCCAGACUCCUACGGGAGGCAGCAGUGGGGAAUCUUGCGCAAUGCGCGAAAGCGUGACGCAGCAACGCCGCGUGGGGGAAGACGGCCUUCGGGUUGUAAACCCCUUUCAGGAGGGACGAAGGUGCGGCGGUUAACAGCUGUCCGCACUGACGGUACCUCCACAAGAAGCUCCGGCUAACUACGUGCCAGCAGCCGCAGUAAAAC
rnacentral:rRNA from 1 species